GAUGAAGACCCCGAGAUGAUGAAGACCACGAGAUGAUAAAGACCACGUGACAAUGAAGAACCCGAGACGAUGAAGAUCACGAGACGAUUAAGACCCCGUGAUGAUAAAGACCACGUGACAAUGAAGAACCCGAGACGAUGAAGACCCCGUGAUGAUGAAGAACCCGAGACGAUGAAGACCACGAGACGAUGAAGACCCCGUGAUGAUAAAGACCACGUGACAAUGAAGAACCCGAGACGAUGAAGACCCCGUGAUGAUGAAGACCACGAGACGAUGAAGACCCCGUGACGAUGAAGACCACGAGACGACGAAGACCCCGAAACGACGAAGACCCCGAGAUGUCGUUUAAAUCUCUGGACCUUUUUUUAACUCGUAGCUUCAGUUGUAGUUUAGCCUGUUUUUAUAAACUCAGGUUUGUGAAUGACGAGGGGCCCUUGAAGGGCUCCCUGAGGUACCCCCCCCCCCCCUUUGGGGUUCAGAAGAUUAAUUAGUUCUUUUAUUAGAACGAAAGAAGACGACUGACUUCCACUCGCGGUUCCUCUCCGUCACAUUCCUGUGAACCAAACCUCUCGCAGGGUCUGCUGCUCCUUUUGAUGUCUGCCGGCCAAUCGGACGGCCAAUCUAAACCAGAUCCAGACCUCCGCCCUCUUGCCUCUCUCUCCCCUCCUCCUCCUCCUCCUCCUCCCUCUCAGGCCGGUUCAUCUCUGGCGUGAGGUCGGCCUCAGAUUCCAGCCGAGCCGGCUCGUUUCUUUUCAUCCGUCACGGAAACUCGACACCCGGCGAGCCGGUGGCCCGAGAUUAAUGGGUUUGCUCAAAUUACGUGGCGCACUCGGAGAAAAAGAAGAAGAAGAAAGAACUCCCCCUCUCUCUCUCUCUCUCUCUUUCCCACUGUUUGUUCAGCUGUCCCUCUCCCAAAGCCCCCCCCCCCACAUCGUCUUCCUCCUCCUCCCCGACUGAGCUGCAGGACGGGGACCGGAGGAAACGCGUCUUGAACUCGUUGGCUGGAGAGCUGCGAGCGAGGAACAACAAACCUCAGCUGUUCUCGACCUCCGAGAGCGCCGCCAACGACAACAACGCGGCGAAGACGGAAAAUACGACGACCGGCUGCCGACACCGGGAGCCCGAAAGGGGGGAAAAAGCCAAGCGAGCGUUUUCCUUGGCGAGCGACACGAAAAAUGCGCUUGACUUUUUUUGGGGGGUGGAUAUUUAAAAGUGACUUUAUUCCAGUUUAACUGUUUUUAAAACGUAUUGCGCACUCCGACUACCUGCCGGGGCAGUCGCCGGCAACCGAGGCACGAGAGUUUUAGAAGACGCCCCUUUGACCCAAAAAAAAGGAAAAUACCAACUUCUUAUUUUUUUUAAACUCAUGAGAGGAGGAUGCACCGGAUUAACGUCCCGAUGAGGAGGAGGCCCCGUGAGGAAGAGAUUCCCCAUCUGACUGGCAGUCAGCUGAUAGCGGAUACAAAUGCAGCCAGUGUGGAGGCAGGCCGGAGAGAAUCAGGUCACACAUUUAGUAUUUCCUCCCCGCUGACACUUCCAAAAGAGGGGGACGGAAAAGGAGCGGAAAACCGGAUUUACAGUCUGCGUUAUUUUCAUUGCAGUCACGAGUGAUUUCCAGACACGUUUUUGUCACCUCGCUGACAUUAAAGUCCAGAAACCCCGGAGCGACUUUUAGAGGAACUCUCCGCUUCAAAAGUCUCACCUUUCCUUUUUUUUAAAUUCUUUUGGCGACAUCUUUACGACAGCAGCUCGACGCACAUCUUGCCCAGUUUUAUUUCCGACGGCUCGAUUCAGCGGGACGUACGUCGGCGUCGGCGGGGUCGGCUUCAAAGGCAGAACAGAUGUGCGCUUGAAGUGACACCCGGGCGUCUUCUGGAUUACUGAAGCACGGAAACCGACCGGCUUAUUAAUAUACGCCAUGGAUGAAUCUGCUAAUUCUGUCCCGGUGAACGCGGUUAUUUUAGAUUUAAGAUGAAACUGGCAGGAGGGACAGAAACGUGUCGUAAGACGCGAACGCAACGCGUGUGAUUGAUGUGUUUCGUAAAUUAGUUUGAUGUCGAAAAAGCACAGAUGAGUAUGAAUGUUUCGGGCCUGCGGCUGUCAGUCGACCGGUGUGUUUUCACUCCGGCGCCCGUGUUAUCGGGUCCCGGCAGUCGCGGCGCCGCUCGCCGUCGUGUCCGUUCCGCCGCGUAUCGAGAACCUGAGGUGCGUGAAAACGAUCCUCUUGACGGGAUGAUGGCCUCACGACGCCGGUGUGAUGUCUAUAUCUGGACAGAAUGUCACGGACGCGAAUAGAGAGGACUUUUUUUUUUCAUUCCUGUUUAAAGAAUAAAAGCCCUCUAGUGUCUGUGUGGAUGGAUUCCCUUCGCGGGGCUUUUAUUUCAAAAUAUUUGUGGGAAAAGCAUUGAUUUGCACAGAUCCAUGAAUUGAUGGAGUGAUAUCUUGAUAUGUGGAUUCUUAUUCAUUUUAUUUUCAUGCAUCUUGAGUUAUUUACUCAUUCGUCCAUUUUUUUAUUUAAAUACAAACUACAUUUAAAAUUAUAAUAAAUAUUAUUGCUAUUGUAAAAUUCCAACUCAGACCUCCAAGUCGGGAAGUCAGAUUUGUUGUUAUUGUUUAGAAAUCUGCUCCCCCUCCUCUUCCUCUCUUCCUCUCUUCCUCCUCCUCGCCACUCAAAUUCCAGUUUGUGGAGUUUGUAGAUUCGCCACCCUGAUAAAAAAUAAUAAUUUCCGUGCUCCAGUUCGUGGUGACAUCAGAGCCCAGCGGGGGGGAAGAACAGCGAGUGAGGGAGUGUGUGAGAAGACGGAGGGAGGAAGAGGAAGAGAAGGAGGAGGAGGAGGAUCUCGAGAUCAUCCAUCAUGUGAAAGGCCGCCAAAGGAGGAUGCUGGCACUCGCCGACAUGGGUGUCUAAAAAUACAUGGCAGCGGGGCGCGGUGAUGGAGGACGCCAUUAUUCAUGCAGAAGAAGAAGAAGAAGCACUUCGUGAAAAUUGUAAAAUAAAUAUAAACUUUUGUCAUGAUUAAAUCCCUCGACAGCUUCAAGUUGCAUAAUUCAUUUGCGACGAUCUGAAAAUGAGAAAAAUCGGAAGAAAAUAAAAAGAUAAAGCAUUACAACUGUAAUGGUAUUGUUAAGUAAACAAACCGUUACUCAGCAUUGACAAUUACUUAAAUAUAAAUAUAUAAAAACAGAACGACUUCUUUCCCCCCAAAAUAAAGAUCUGGUUAAAAGAUUUAAAGAAGAGGCGAAACUCCGUUUUACAGACUCGUCGAUUGAAUCAUCCUGAUGCCCGAGUCGACAGAAUCGACCUGGAAUAAAUCUCACCUCCGUUACCGGAACAACUCCAAUGAGUCAACGAGAGAAUUAAAACAAUCCCAAAAUGUAACGUGUGCAAAAACGAGAGCUGCAGCCGUGACGACGGCUGCUUAUCAACCGCCGUCAUAAAAGUGCCGAGUGCAGCUUUAACGCAGCAGCUGCUGACCUUUGACCCCGUGACCCACACCAGCACCUCACUGUAUCGCCCAGGGUGUCAUCACAGACCACUUUAUCUGUGUGUAUGUGUGUGUGUGUGUGUGUGUGUGACUCACUGUUACAAAGUGUGUUAUGCAAGCCACACACACACACACAUAAUCACUCAUGUAUUGUAUAUGUGUGUAAAAUGUACGGACACAUCACAUGUGGUGUGAUGAAAUGUGUGUAGCUGCUGCGUAUAAACAACCUCUCACUCUCCCUCUCUCUCUCUCUCCCGCCUCGUCAGCAGCGUUUCAUCUGGAGGCGGAAGUGCCGACAUGUGUUUCUAAUCCAGCCGCAGGUCAGAGCCAAUCAGCCGGCUCUGAUCAUUUCAAAGGCUCUGACACACACACACACACACACACACGGCGAGAUGAAGCGAGUAUCACUUCUUCUUCUGCUGUGAGGGGGCGGGGCUUUGUUCGUGUCAAUCAAACAUCAAAGAGCCGCUCGGCUGCUUCUUUUUCCACCUUUUGUGUUUUGCCGUUUUUCUUUCGGCUGCCGGGUCGGCGACCUCUGACCCCUCGCUUCCCGCCCGCCCCGGGCUGCAGGCGAUUCAUUCUGAUUGGAAGACGUGAAAAUUAUAUGUUUUUAUUACUUAUUGUUUUGCUUCAUUAUCUAUUUUUGUAUAUAUUUUUUUUACAUUUUAUUUGUUUGGUGGAAUCUGCUUUUAUAAAUACUCAUUAACCAAUUAACAAAAUAACAUAAAAAGUUGGUUACUAUUUAUUUAUUUAUUUGAAUAACGUGAAUAAACAUAAAAUACCAAUAUUAAGUAUGAAAAAAGCACAAUAUAUACAAUAAAAUAGCACAGUGUGUUAAAUAAAAAAUAUUGAAUAAUAAAAAUAAUUAAAAAAUGCCCAAAUACAAUACAAUAAAAUAGCACAGCAAGACAUGUUCAAUUUAAUAAAAAUGUAAUAAUAGAGAAAAUGCAAAGUGUAUAGAGUGUAUAUAAAGUAAAAGAUCACCUGUUGCCGAAGACCUGAGACCGGCUCGACCCGUAAAUAAGACAAACUCAGAAUAUUGAACCCCGUCGUGUGGUUAUUAUAACUCUCUGUGAUGAACAGCUGCACCUGAACGCAACACUUCCACUGAACCUCCAUCGUCGGCACACAUCAAAGGCUCGUCCCUGUUCGCCGCUGCAGGCGCUGAAAUAUGACUUUAUUUUCCAUCCGCGCAUUCCUGACAGCUCCUACUAUGUGUGUGUGUGUGUGGGUGUGUGUGUGUGUGUGUGUGUGGGUGUAGCCUCCGGCUGUGACCGCAUAUAUACAUUCCGGUUCUCGGAGCGCGGGGGUUUUCCAAACAUCCGGUGCUCUUUCUUCCUCCUCGUGUUGCGUAAGAGGCUCGGAAAAAAACACACACAAGGCCCAGCGUCUCCCCGGGGGGCCCGGUGUGUGUGUGUGUGUGUGUGUGUGGGGGGGGGGGGCUACUUUCAUCACACCUAAAAGGAGUGAUCCGCAAAAAAACACCUCUUUUCUCUUCUUUUUCUCACUCCACUUUUAUUCUUUUUUUAACCAUCCAACUAUUUUUUAUUAGGACUUGAGUCCAAAUGAAAUGAUAUAAUAAUAUCUUUAUAUAUUAUAGAACAAUGAUACAUAGAUGUAUUGUUGUUGUUUGUACAUAUGCAUGAUCUGUCUCAGGGGUUUGGGCUGAACUGGAUGUCAGUUUUUAAUCCGUUUAAUGACGAGAAACAUGAGGGGUGGGCGUGGUCAUGAAAGAAGUGGGCGUGGCCACGUUGCCUCGAUGGGCGUGGCCUCCAGUACAUUACAUUUAGUGCACAGCCUGCUCACAAGUCAUCGGGAGGUCCCCCUGUAGCUCAGUGGACUACAGUUCUUGAAGCUAUGCACGAUCGUCGCCAUCUUCCUUUCUUUAUUUGUGGAAGUCGAGCAGUGACCCGAGGGGGCGGAGCUAAGUGCACCGCGUGGAAAGAUAAGAUGAAAGUCCUUUGUACAUUCGCCCAUUCAUUGAGUCGUCCCGGAGGCGUAGGCAGGAGUUUCCACCGCGACCCCGACGGCUUCACACGUUCUCGUCUUUUUUUCCCCUGAGUUAUAAAAGAGAGAGAAAGGCCCCUCCCCCUCCCCUCACAAACCCCUCCCCCUAAUAACAUGGUAGCUGAAAGCCCCACAGGAGCCGGCAGAGGCAGAGAUCUUCUCCCUCUGUCAUUGAGAGCCGUGAACAUCUGGUUCCCGGCCGUGAUUCAUGGAAGAGCGUCUCUCCUCCUCCUCCUCCUCCUCCUCCUCCUCCUCCUCCUCCUCUGGCCUCUCUUUGGUGUCAGUCACAGCCUCAUGGAAAGUUCUGCAGAGGGCCAGGAUAUGUUUAGAUGGUGGCGGUGGCGGUUGAGGGGGAUGAAGAAGGGAAGGAGGGGGAGGGGAGGGGGGGGAGGGGCAUAUUUGAGAGAGAGGAUGUUAGAGUCCGGGAUCUUUGCCAAGAGAGAGAGGGGUGAGGAGGAGGAGGGAAAACAUCCUAUUUAAAGAUGUUGUUUUCUUAUUCAACUUUACGGAGCAAUAGUUGCAUUUUCUGUAACUCUUUGAAAGAUAAUUAAUCUAUUUUUUCGGGUCACUGCAGUUGUUUUUAUUAAAGAUAAAUUAAUUCAUAUUUUUAUAUCAACAAUAGGUUAAUGUGUCAUGUGUAAAAAUAUAUAUUUAGUUAUUUUUUGCUCCUAGUUUUGGUCUCGUGGCACAUUCCCUGUCCGGCUGCCGUAAACUGGUCAUAAAAAAAAUAAAAAUAAACUUUUCCUCGACCCUCAGUGGAAAAACAUAAUGAGGUCAAGUAAAUAUGUGAAGGAUCAUUCAUAAGGACUUAAGAAGAGAGCAUAAGGACUUAGGAAGAGAGCAUAAGGACUUAGGAAGAGAGCGCCGCGGUGCUCAGAGGAUCCGACUGCAGCAGAUGUUUGUUUUUUAAAGCAACUUUAUUUACACAAAAACUAGUACAGCGACAAACUGGAAGGAUGUUUUCAAAUGAGGUGAAAUUAAAAGUGUGAAGGAGGCAAGGAAGGAAGCAUCAAAGCACCUUUUCCUUAGCAAUUAAAGAGUUCCACCAGCUUCCUGGUCCCAGAUGAAGGUGACGCGGUCCAGGACCAGCUGGUGGAGGUUUUCCUUCAGGGGGUGGAGACCCAACACGGAGCAAAAAGAGACCACGAGACGUUCCUCACAAACACAAAGAUCCUCCUGAAUCCACCGUACUGCUCGGGAACUGAUGGACGUGGAAUAUAAUGUGGAAUAUAAUGUGGAAUAUAAUACCGUCCAAAAGUUUGGGGUCACCCAGACAAUUUGGUCUUUUCCAUUAAAGCUCACACUUUUAUUAAUCAAAUAAAUUGCAUAAUUAAUAUAAAAUGUAGUGAAUACGUUGAAAAGGUUAUAAAUAAUGAUUUGUACUUUAAAUAUUAAUGUUGUUCUUCUUGUAGCUCAAAGGAAGGCCAGUUUUAUAGCUUCUCACAGCAGCAUAACUGUUUUCAGCUGCGCUCGCAUAAAAAGGGUUUUCAUGGGUUUUCAACCCCUCCGUUAGUCUUCUAAGGUGAUAACACAAUGUACCAUUAGAACACUGGAGAUGGGCCUCUACACACCUCUGUAGAGACUUCAUUAAACACCAGAGAAUAGUCAUUUACACAUUAGCUAUGUAGAGAGAGUAUUUAUGAUUCAUUUAAUGUUAACGUGUCAAACAGAGCUUUACUUUGAAGAAUAAGGACAUUUCUAAGGGAUGUUUCAAACUUUUGAACAGUGGUGUCUACUCAUAUACUCAUCGUGUUCUUUUCUUCUCGCUCUAGUUCAUUUCCAGUUUAUUAUGUCAUGUUCCUGCUUUAUUCAAAUUUUUUUGGAUUGACAAAUAUUUCGCCUUCAAAAAUAAAAAUAGCUCGGAGACAGCUCCCGCCUCUGUUCCCGCAUAAUAAACAAAGCCGCUGUUGACUGCGGUUCGAGGAUCUUUUUUUCUCCGAAAUAAAUAGAAACCCUCGUCUGAAGCGAAGCGUUCAUCGCUCCGCAAACACACCCGAUGACGUUCGUGGUUUUUAUUUACCCUCAGAGGGCGUUCAGACCCAGGAACCGUCUGCCGAGAGAGGAAAGCCGAGCUUCCAGUGCGGUCGACCUACUUUCAACGAGAGCCAACCUCCGUCGAGGGGGAAAGAAAGAUGGAAACCAAUUCCUCAAACGCACACUGAACAACUAGAAAUGGGAUUUUAAAUUGCUCUAAAUAUGGAUGUUUUUGGGGAGCUCUGAACUCUUUCGUGAUGCUUUCUGUUUGAGCAUAUUUUGAGGCAUAUAUGUUUUUCCCCUCUGGAAGGAUAUUUUGUUUGAGUGUUCUGGGUUGUUACACCUGUGGCCACGCCCACCGAUGAUGUCACAGCGGAGGAGAGUACACCUGUCCAUCACUGCGGUCGAAAACAAGACGUCCUGGGGAUGUUUAGUUGACCUAUAAGGAACUAAAAUGUCAAUAUAUAUAUAUUUUUUCAGGGUCAGAGGACCUGAAAGUUCACAUAUAUACAUAUUUACAUAUAGAUACAUGUAUCUAUAUAUAAAUAUACAUACUGUAUGUAUAUAUAUAUACAUGUAUACACACACAUGAAUAAUAAUAAAAAUGUCCCAGUGGUGGAAACCCCCUUC